rnacentral:tRNA from 1 species
AUGGCUUAGUGGUAGAGUGCUUGCCUAGCAUGCAUGAAGCCCUGUGUUCGAUUCCCAGU